GGGGGAAGGCCGGAUCCUGGGCUGUGUCCCGGAGCCCUGUGCUCCAGGGCCUGCGCUGUUGGAUUCGCGCUCCCGCCCCGCAGCCCCCU
rnacentral:pre_miRNA from 1 species